GAGAAGCUUGCUUCUCUUGAGAGCGGCGGACGGGUGAGUAAUGCCUAGGAAUCUGCCUGGUAGUGGGGGAUAACGUUCGGAAACGGACGCUAAUACCGCAUACGUCCUACGGGAGAAAGCAGGGGACCUUCGGGCCUUGCGCUAUCAGAUGAGCCUAGGUCGGAUUAGCUAGUUGGUGAGGUAAUGGCUCACCAAGGCGACGAUCCGUAACUGGUCUGAGAGGAUGAUCAGUCACACUGGAACUGAGACACGGUCCAGACUCCUACGGGAGGCAGCAGUGGGGAAUAUUGGACAAUGGGCGAAAGCCUGAUCCAGCCAUGCCGCGUGUGUGAAGAAGGUCUUCGGAUUGUAAAGCACUUUAAGUUGGGAGGAAGGGUUGUAGAUUAAUACUCUGCAAUUUUGACGUUACCGACAGAAUAAGCACCGGCUAACUCUGUGCCAGCAGCCGCGGUAAUACAGAGGGUGCAAGCGUUAAUCGGAAUUACUGGGCGUAAAGCGCGCGUAGGUGGUUUGUUAAGUUGGAUGUGAAAUCCCCGGGCUCAACCUGGGAACUGCAUUCAAAACUGACUGACU
rnacentral:rRNA from 1 species